GUGUGUGUGUGUGUGGAGGAGCCUGACAGAGCCCAACAAGGAGAGAGCUGCAUUGAAGGCCAUUGUGUACGGAGUACGGGGUUGGGUCAGGCCUCUGUGACCAUAAGGGGCCCACAUGAGCGUGGCUGCCCUUUCUUAUUUGGCUCAACCCCCAUUACCACUCCAUGAUCAAACCUCCCCACACCGCCCCAUGUGACCGAAUACAUAAAAUAUGGUGGCAGUAGUCCAGUCAGGUCUUUCCAUUACCCACAUUACCCUAUACGUACUCUUGUGUUAAAUGGUGAAUGUGUUAAAUGUUAACUCUACAUUUUACAAUGUGAGUUUGCAGUAGCCUGGUUUCCUGUGCGGGAUACGCCCCUUUUCUGCUUUUAUUUUUUAAAAUUAAAUUCCUCUUUUUGGUAUGUGCACUGGUCAUGGCACUUCUCAUUCUAAUUCAUACUGUGGCAGGAAAUAUGACGCACACAGUAUAUGGCUGAAUUUCCAAGGUAGCGUUGGAGUUUUCUGGAGAAACAAAUACCACACAAACCACCAUGCAACAGAACCUUCUGGCUGUACAUUUGUUGGAGAGCUGACCAUGGAAACCAUGCUGGUCUGUGUCUGGCUGGUCAGCAGUCUGAUUCACAUGAUCUCAGGAUGUUCUCUAUCUGCACCCGAAGGAGUCACUGGGUACACAGGAGGCUCUGUGCUCCUGUCUUGCUUCUGCACUGACGGAGGGACAAUACCGAGAUCUGCCAGGUGGCUUUUUCAACCAGGCCCUACUACGAUCAUACUUUGGUCACAUGGCCGAGUGGACGACCGCUACAAAGACCGGGCGUUGAUUUCUGACUCCCCUGGAAACAUGUCUCUCCGUCUCUCAGAUCUCACUCUGUCAGAUUGGGGAACAUACUGGUGUGAAGCAGAUGGACAGUUUAAAGACAUCACUCUCACAGUGAAAGAAUCUCUCAAAAAAACAAAAAAACCAGGCUGUGUUUUCUCUGAUUCUGGACCCAUACACAUCACUGGAUUCACAGGACACUCAGUGGUCCUGCCCUGUGCCUGUACUGAUGUGCAGAAGAAACCUGAACAGAUCAAAUGGACUGCAGUGACAGAACAGCAAAGCGCUGUUAUAUUUCCACCACGUCCUUCCAGUGGCAGAGUGCAGCUGUUGGACUCUGUCUCCCCCGGAAACCUGUCUCUCCGUCUCUCAGAUCUCACUCUGUCAGAUGGGAGAACAUACCGGUGUGAAGCAGAUGGACAGUUUAAAGACAUCAUCCUCACAGUUAUACAUAGAUUUGAAGAAUUUUGUUUAAAAGUUUAAAUGGGUUGUGUUUAAAUCUUCAAAUGACAACAUUUCUAUCAACUCAUUGCCUGCAGCUGAUCUAGGUGGGUGGGACAUAUUUGUUCCAAAUAUUAUG